rnacentral:lncRNA from 1 species
CAUACACAUUUUUUUGCAUACAUAUUUUUGCAAGCCGGAAAUUAUAACUCUGUGAAAAAUGGACUACAGUUCCCAAGAUUCUUUUUGGGGGGUGGGGUGGGAAUAAGCUUUAGACAUGCUUUCUGCUUUAUAUGCUGCCUGAGUCUACGUAAGCUCUGCUUCCUGGACAACAAAACAUUGAGCAUGCUCUGUCUCCACAUUUUAAAACAUUUCUACAACCACUAAUACCAGAAACUGGCUUUUUAAAUUAUUUUUAUAAUAGCAAAUUUUUUUAAAGCUAUGAAUUGCAGCCAAUUCACCUAUCUGAUCGGGCACUAGAUACUGGAAUCUUUAUAAAAUUCAUUUGCACAGACACAGAAAACAAAUUUUCCUGGUCAUAACAUUGAAGUGUAACAUUUCUAAACUUCUAAAUCCCCUUCUCUUUAUGUUACUCUUUUGUAUUAUAUUUAUUCAUUUUCUUAUUGUGCGAUUCUCUUUCGCUCAGACACCUCCUUUGAUUUGGAUUCCAUUUUAUGGCCAAGAGGAGACGACGCCUUGUCUUGGAAGCAUAAAUCAGUUUCAGUAUGUGAGCUCCCAAUGUGAUAAGACAUAUGGAAGAGGAGAAGGUGUGUUUGCUGGAGCAGAUGUCUCCUUCGGUUUUGGUGAUUGCCAAAGUUGAAUGAUGUCAUAACGAUGCCAUGCGAUGGACAAGUUGGUACCUUCAGCCUCCUGCCAACUUUGGCCUGUGCAGCUGAUCCUAAUGACAUGCCCUUCAACAUUCCACCGCCGAAAAUUGGGACACACAGCUUUUGGUGCUGGGCUUUUUCACCGACCCUUUCUCCUCCCUGAGUUCGGUGGCGGGGCUGGAGGGGGGAAACAGGACAUUCUGGCACCCAAGCAGAAGCCAGGAUGGCUUCUGUAAUUCUGGGAUGUCCCAGGAAAAUCAGGACAGCUGAGGGGUAUGUAAUAAGGAUCUGGCUCAUGGAGCCAAAAAAACUUUCCCCACCCCUGAGUUAAAGGUGCUUUUCUCAGAAGCCUGAACUAGGGCCUAUGAUUUCAUAAUAUAGUGCUUGUUGAUUAUUUUGUCAAUAAAGGGGGUGGUGGGAAUUAUUAAGAAGUCUGACAAGACCCUCAGCAAUUUGUCAGUGGUCCCCAAAACCAUGCAAUUAGAGAGCCAUUGAAUUCACUGAUUUGAGUUUUCCCAAAGCAGAACAGAUUUGUAAGCUGCUUUGGCACAGGGAUGCGGGUGGCACUGUGGAUUAAACCACAGAGCCUAGGACUUGUCGAUCAGAAGGUCAGCGGUUCGAAUCCCCACGACGGGGUGAGCUCCCGUUGCUCGGUCCCUGCUCCUGCCAACCUAGCAGUUUGAAAGCACGUCAAAGUGCAAGUGGAUAAAUAGGUACCGCUCUGGCGGAAAGGUAAAUGGUGUUUCUGUGCGCCACAUGACCCAGAAGCUGUACUCCGGAUCCCUCGGCCAGUAAAGUAAGAUGAGCACCGCAACCCCAGGGGUCCCUUUACCUUUACUUUACCUUGGCUUCUGUUCAUUUUUAAACCAACUAACCAACCAACCAACCAACCAACCCGUAAAACACACUUGCUGCUGAUAUCUAUAUCUAUGUCUCAGUCUAUGUCUACAUUAAGAUUCAUUAUUGUGACUCUUAUGAUCAGUGACUGGUGAAAAACGAGAAGUCAGAGUUCAUUAGCCAUAUCCUAAGAAUAAAUAUGAGCUGCCAUAGGCAAGCUAUGAAAAGCGAGGCGUUUGUUUCUGGAGUUAUUUCUGUAUCACACCAAGUAGUUCAACCCCUGGAAAUUGGGAUCACUCCUGGCUUAAUAGAACUUUGGCAAGGACACCAAGGAUAAAGCCAAGUGUCACAAAACGUAGCGUCAGGAGAUCUUUUAUAUCCCUUCAGGGAGGAGGAACAUCUGCUUACCAUCCCAAUGACAGCCUUGCAUUUAUCCCUAAAGAAGUAAAGUGCAAUGUUAUCUGCUCCCAAGCACCAUAUUUGGGAUUUUAUUGAUGCCGUUAAGAUAGGCUAUUUAUGACCAUCAAAUAAUUUCAAAAGGGGUGCAAAGGGGGAAGCCUCUCAUUUAAAAAGCAGUGUGGUGUCAAAU